GUUGGGGUAAUGCGCCAUUGGGCGCAGCCUGAUGCAGCAACGCCGCGUGAGGGACGACGGCCUUCGGGUUGUAAACCUCUUUUAGCAGGGAAGAAGCGAAAGUGACGGUACCUGCAGAAAAAGCGCCGGCUAACUACGUGCCAGCAGCCGCGGUAAUACGUAGGGCGCAAGCGUUAUCCGGAAUUAUUGGGCGUAAAGAGCUCGUAGGCGGUUUGUCGCGUCUGCUGUGAAAUCCGGAGGCUCAACCUCCGGCCUGCAGUGGGUACGGGCAGACUAGAGUGCGGUAGGGGAGAUUGGAAUUCCUGGUGUAGCGGUGGAAUGCGCAGAUAUCAGGAGGAACACCGAUGGCGAAGGCAGAUCUCUGGGCCGUAACUGACGCUGAGGAGCGAAAGGGUGGGGAGCAAACAGGCUUAGAUACCCUGGUAGUCCACCCCGUAAACGUUGGGAACUAGUUGUGGGGUCCAUUCCACGGAUUCCGUGACGCAGCUAACGCAUUAAGUUCCCCGCCUGGGGAGUACGGCCGCAAGGCUAAAACUCAAAGGAAUUGACGGGGACCCGCACAAGCGGCGGAGCAUGCGGAUUAAUUCGAUGCAACGCGAAGAACCUUACCAAGGCUUGACAUAUACGAGAACGGGCCAGAAAUGGUCAACUCUUUGGACACUCGUAAACAGGUGGUGCAUGGUUGUCGUCAGCUCGUGUCGUGAGAUGUUGGGUUAAGUCCCGCAACGAGCGCAACCCUCGUUCUAUGUUGCCAGCACGUAAUGCUGGCAACUCAUGGGAUACUGCCGGGGUCAACUCGGAGGAAGGUGGGGAUGACGUCAAAUCAUCAUGG
rnacentral:rRNA from 1 species